rnacentral:lncRNA from 1 species
AGCAUUCGGGCAGAGAUACCCUGUGAAGAUGAACAAGAGCAAGAACAUAACGGACCACUGGACAACAAAGUCUUAUUGAUGAUGCCUGUUGUCUGUAGGAAAAUCCACGGCUGGAAAUUUUCUUGUUAAUCCCCUUGAGCCAAAAAAUGCAGAAAAGCUCAAGGUGAAGAUUGCUGACCUUGGAAAUGCUUGUUGGGUGCACAAACAUUUCACUGAAGAUAUUCAAACAAGGCAAUAUCGUUCCUUGGAAGUUCUAAUCGGAUCUGGCUAUAAUACCCCUGCUGACAUUUGGAGCACGGCAUGCAUGGUAAUGUUUUUUCCCCUUGGCUUUCACUUGUUAAGUGGUACAUAUCUUGCCCUGUUUGCUAAUUUCAGUAAACCAGCAAAUUAACUAGCAGAAAAGAACGUAACACAGAUGAUUUACCAUAGGUAUUCUAAAUUCUAUGUCUAGAGAGGUCCGAAUUCAAAAACCUGUCUGGCAUUUCAUUUGGUUACUGCUAAGUUCCUGUUAGGUGAAGGAACCAAAAGUUUCUUACUACAGAUUGUUAGUGGGGGGAAAUAAUGAAAACAACUACUAAGAGGUGUUGUUGGUUUUGAUUAGGAGAUUACAAGUAUCUUUGCAUUUUUAGCACUC